GCCCGCCUAGCUCAAUCGGAUAGAGCGUCAGACUCUUAGAAUGCCAGGCGGUCGGUAUACGUAUCUGAAGGCUGCGAGUUCGACCCUCGCGGUGGGCU